AAGAUGGGCGCAGCCUGAUCAGCCAUUCCGCGUGCAGGAUGACGGCCCUCUGGGUUGUAAACUGCUUUUAUUUGGGAAGAAACCCUGGGAUUUAUCCCGGGCUGACGGUACCAAAAGAAUAAGCACCGGCUAAUUCCGUGCCAGCAGCCGCGGUAAUACGGAAGGUGCAAGCGUUAUCCGGAAUCACUGGGUUUAAAGGGUGCGUAGGCGGUUACGUCAGUCAGAAGUGAAAGCUCACAGCUUAACUGUGGAAUUGCUUUUGAUACUGCGUAACUAGAAUCAGGUUGAGGUUGGCGGAAUGUGACAUGUAGCGGUGAAAUGCAUAGAUAUGUCAUAGAACACCAAUUGCGAAGGCAGCUGACUAGACCUGCAUUGACGCUGAGGCACGAAAGCGUGGGGAGCGAACAGGAUUAGAUACCCUGGUAGUCCACGCCCUAAACGAUGCUUACUCGAUGUGUGAAUUAUUGCGCAUCCAAGGGAAACCGUUAAGUAAGCCACCUGGGGAGUACGUUCGCAAGAAUGAAACUCAAAGGAAUUGACGGA
rnacentral:rRNA from 1 species